UUGGUUCUUCAAACUUGAGCGAGAACCAAAUAAAUUAUAGUUUUAUAAUCAAUGAGAAUAAAGAUGGAUCAUAAGUCACCUACAGUCUAGAAUAUGCCGAAAAAUAGAGAAACGUAUACUGGAAGUCUCUUGUUCUUGCAAUCACAUCGUAAAGAUGUGAAUUUGCGUCCAAAAGUGAUAGUAAAAGCGUACCAAUUGUAUUUGGCGCAAUCUACGUGCAUCAUGACUGCGAGCUCAGGAAACUGGAGUUUAUGGUGCCGUGAUGCUGAUAAAUGGGAAGGGAGGAACUACUGCGGUUAUCUCUCGAGCCCAAGAUGCACAACUUCUCUCACUCGUCAUGAGCUCACGUCACCUUCUGAUGGGAAGCUUUGCUCGUCUGCAUAGAUUCCCUUCGCGACUUUGCUUUACCAUAGAUACAUACUCCGUUGAAGUUGGUUGCGUUACGUGAAUGGCUGAUUGUGCUUCUCAGAGGAAUUGAACCUAGUACAUUGGAGUACUUUUCAUAAGCAGCUUACCAAUUCAGCUAGACCUUCUUGGAUUUAAAUUAGAAUAUGUGUUUGCAUAAUUUUGUGGUGUUGUUGUUAUAGUACUUCUCUAGGUGUCUUUGUCGUUUGAGCAUUGUAAUUGCAGAGUACUAUAUGGAGUGCUUUUGCAGCCAUGGAGUGAGAAUGUACCAUUAGAGAAAUCUACAAAAGCUUGUGAUUUUAAUUUGUACAAUUGACCCAUUACUCCUCAAA